GCUGCGGUGGCUCAGUUGGUAAAGCGUUGAACUUGUAAUUCAAGGUUCAUGGGUUCGAUACCUCGCACCA